AACCCCAGCCCCUCGUCCACAGUGGAGACCUGGGCUCUGACGGAAAGCCAUGCAUGUAGCUCCUGGGACCAAGGGGGGCCCUGCAGCCCCCGGGAAGCCAGUGUGGUUGAAGGCAGCGCAAGCCGAGUGGGGGCAGAGCUGGAGCUGGACUUUGCCAGCAGCCCUGGCAGGGAGGCCCCUGAAGUGGAAGGCCAGUGGUCAGAGAAGCAGAGAACAGAGACCUGUUGGCAGGAGGACCCCCACGACCCCCACUCCUGGCAGGAAGCCACCCAGCUGACCACCUGUCCAGCUCCUGCUGAGGUGGCAAGGCCCCCCACCCAACGCCAGGGCAGCCCCCCGCC